CGGCGCUGGACCCACGUGCAGCAGCAUUGCACUACAGGGGUGUGCAGGAUUCCAAUGCCUGUUUGUGUGCCUAGGAACGAAAACCACUGGCUGAAGGGCAGCAGCACCAGUUAAAAAGAAAACAAAGCAAACAGUAUUUCUUAAAAAAAUGUCUGAAGCUGAAUUCACAGACCCUGUAAAGUUCCAGUUCCAGGUUUAAGCCAUUGGCUACUGAUGUGCCUCAACUCAGUUCUUCAGGGACCAAGUCUAGAUGUGCGAGGGCAAUUCACUUUUCAAGCCGUUUCAAACCUGACUUCUCUACUGAGACUGCCUAUUAGGGCCAAAUUUCAGUUAGCCUCACAGGAAAAGCUGUGAACACAAACACCUGCGUCUUCAUGCACAAUACUGACUGGCAUGUGUAACCUGCAACAUUUGCUUUCACAAUUACCUAUUAAGCGUAGACAGAUAAAAAAGUUAUGUGCAGACAAACAGAUUUCCUGGUCCAGUAGUUAAAGUGCUAGCUUGGGCCACCUGAGAC